rnacentral:rRNA from 1 species
UGAGUACGAGCUGCUACGGCAGCGAAGUGGGUGAUGUCAAGCUUCCAAGAAAAGCCCUAUACCCGUUAAGGCAUGAUGGCCUGUACCCGAAACCGACACAGGUGGGGUGGUAGAGAAUACCGAGGGGCGCGAGAUAACUCUCUCUAAGGAACUCGGCAAAAUGGCCCCGUAACUUCGGGAGAAGGGGUGCCACCGCAAGGUGGUCGCAGUGAAAAGGCCCAGGCGACUGUUUACCAAAAACACAGGUCUCCGCUAAGUCGCAAGACGAUGUAUGGGGGCUGACGCCUGCCCAGUGCCGGAAGGUUAAGGAAGCUGGUCAGCGUAAGCGAAGCUAGCGACUGAAGCCCCGGUGAACGGCGGCCGUAACUAUAACGGUCCUAAGGUAGCGAAAUUCCUUGUCGGGUAAGUUCCGACCCGCACGAAAGGCGUAACGAUCUGGGCGCUGUCUCGGAGAGAGGCUCGGCGAAAUAGAAUUGUCUGUGAAGAUGCGGACUACGUGCACCCGGACAGAAAGACCCUAUGAAGCUUUACUGUAGCUUGGUAUUGUGCCCGGGCUCUGAAUGCGCAGGAUAGGUGGGAGGCUUUGAUCCAUUGCUUGUGGGUGAUGGUGAGCCAACGGUGAGAUACCACUCUUUCAGAGCUAGGGUUCUAACGGUCACCCGUCAUCCGGGGACCGGACAGUAUCAGGUGGGCAGUUUGACUGGGGCGGUCGCCUCCUAAAAGGUAACGGAGGCGCGCAAAGGUUUGCUCAGGCUGGUUGGAAAUCAGCCGACGAGUGUAAAAGCAGAAGCAAGCUUGACUGUGAGACCUACAAGUCGAACAGGGACGAAAGUCGGCUUUAGUGAUCCGACGGUUCUGAGUGGAAGGGCCGUCGCUCAACGGAUAAAAGUUACUCUAGGAUAACAGGCUGAUCUCCCCCAAGAGUUCACAUCGACGGGGAGGUUUGGCACCUCGAUGUCGGCUCAUCGCAACCUGGGGCUGAAGUCGGUCCCAAGGGUUGGGCUGUUCGCCCAUUAAAGCGGUACGCGAGCUGGGUUCAGAACGUCGUGAGACAGUUCGGUCCAUAUCCGGUGCAUGCGCAGGAAUAUUGAGAGGAUUUCUCCCUAGUACGAGAGGACCGGGAGGAACGCACCUCUGGUGUGCCAGUUAUCGUGCCAACGGUAAACGCUGGGUAGCCAUGUGCGGAGAGGAUAACCGCUGAAAGCAUCUAAGUGGGAAGCCCACCUCAAGAUGAGUAUUCCCAUGGCGUUAGCCAGUAAGGUCACGGGCAGAACACCCGUUGAUAGGCUCUACGUGGAAGCCGGGUAACCGGUGAAGCGGAGGAGUACUAAUAGACCGAGGGCUUGAC